AUGGACAAGCCCUUCCCUGGGCACGUGCGCCCAAACUCCCAAGGAAAAACAAUGCCAAGUCGGGUUUUCCAGUUUAUUGUUUGCACGCGCACACCGACGGUUCGCGUUAUUCAGGGCGAGUCCACAUCGCGCAGCGCGGCUACGGGGAAGAGCAGGCGCUGGGGGCGCAGAGGGGUAACACCGCGCCCCCUUCCGGUGGGGGGGGGGAGCGGCGCGCGCGGGGGCGUCCUUCUGGCCACGGAGACCGAACCACGUCAAGGCGGACCUCCGAGGCCCGCAGGAGGCUUUAAAAAUGGCCCUCCUGACGACACUUCCUGCUCGGAGCCGACCGAUUCCCGCGGAGCAUCCUCGGGGCAGCUGAGCUCAGCGUUCGCCCUGAGAACAUCUACAUCCACUGCGGUGCGGUAUCACGCUGGGCCCCGGGAGCGGCCCGCCCCCGCCAAAGGACACCCGGUCGCGCUUCUACAUCGUUGGCCCAAGCCUAGCGGUCGUGGGCCCAGAGGAAGAAGGCCUUUGCUCCCUGCCCUCGUGGAGCUUCAAGUCCAGGAGCAGCAAAGGAGCUCCCGUCUUCAGCCUUCCAAAUUCUCUCUCUCUGUGUCUCUCUUUCUUGAAAGCCGCCGUGAAGAAACUAGCCUUGGAAGACCCAGGUUCGAAUCCCGACUCUCGAAACUUCUUUGCAUCCUCGCCGCGGGACCUUGGACGAAGAAGUCCCUGGACCUCUCGGAGUCUCGGUAUUUGCUUUUCCAAAGAUGGGGAACAUCAGACCUGAAACCCAGUUUCAGUUUCAGUUCAGUCGCUCAGUCGUGUCCAACUCUUUGCGACCCCGUGGACUGCAGCAAGCCAGGCGUCCCAGUCCAUCACCAACUCCCGGAGUUUACCCAAACUCAUGUCCAUCGAGUCAGUGAUGCCAUCCAACCAUCUCAUCCUCUGUUGUCCCCUUGUCCUCCUGCCCUCAAUCUUUCCCAGCAUCAGAGUCUUUUCAAAUGAGUCAGCUCUUCGCAUCAGGUGGCCAAAGUAUUGGAGUUUCAGCUUAAACAUCAGUCCUUUCAAUGAACACCCAGGACUGAUGUCCUUUAGGAUGGACUGGUUGGAUCUCCUUGCAGUCCAAGGGAUUCUCAAGAGUCUUUUCCAACACCACAGUUCAAAAGCAUCAAUUCUUAGGCGCUCAGCUUUCUUUAAAGUCCAACUCUCACAUCCAUACAUGACUACUGGAAAAACCAUAGCCUUGACAAGAGGGACCUUUGUUGGCAAAGUAGUGUCUCUGCUUUUUAAUGUGCUGUCUAGGAUGGUCACAACCUUUCUUCCAAGGAGUAAGCGUCUUUUAAUUUCAUGGCUGCAGUCACCAUCUGCAGUGAUUUUGGAGCCCCCCAAAAUAAAGUUGGCCACUGAUUCCA
rnacentral:lncRNA from 1 species